rnacentral:tRNA from 1 species
GCUGAGAUGGCGGAAUGGCUACGCGGUGGACUGCAAAUCCAUUACAUCCCGGUUCGAUUCCGGGUCUCAGCU